AACGAAUUCGCCCUUCAUGGAGGGUGAGAAUCCCGUCCGGUUGAUCAUUUGCGUUUUACGAUACGCUUUCUAAGAGUCAAGUUGUUUGGGAUUGCAGCUUAAAAUGGGAGGUAAAUUUCUCCUAAGGCUAAAUAACGGCGAGAGACCGAUAGCGAACAAGUACCGUGAGGGAAAGAUGAAAAGAACUUUGAAAAGAGAGUUAAACAGUACGUGAAAUUGUUGAAAGGGAAACGAUUGAAGCCAGUCGUACCUUCGGGUAAUCAGCCUUUCGGGUGCGAUUCUGUGGAGUUUGAGGAGCUU
rnacentral:rRNA from 1 species